rnacentral:rRNA from 1 species
CAUGCAAGUCGAGGGGUAACAGAGAAAAGCUUGCUUUUUUGCUGACGACCGGCGCACGGGUGCGUAACGCGUAUGCAAUCUACCUUUUGCUAAGGGAUAGCCCAGAGAAAUUUGGAUUAAUACCUUAUAGUAUGAUGACUUGGCAUCAAGAUAUCAUUAAAGGUUACGGCAAAAGAUGAGCAUGCGUUCUAUUAGCUAGUUGGUGUGGUAACGGCAUACCAAGGCAACGAUAGAUAGGGGUCCUGAGAGGGAGAUCCCCCACACUGGUACUGAGACACGGACCAGACUCCUACGGGAGGCAGCAGUGAGGAAUAUUGGACAAUGGAGGCAACUCUGAUCCAGCCAUGCCGCGUGCAGGAAGACUGCCCUAUGGGUUGUAAACUGCUUUUAUACAGGAAGAAACACCUCUACGUGUAGAGAUUUGACGGUACUGUAAGAAUAAGGAUCGGCUAACUCCGUGCCAGCAGCCGCGGUAAUACGGAGGAUCCAAGCGUUAUCCGGAAUCAUUGGGUUUAAAGGGUCCGUAGGUGGAUAAUUAAGUCAGAGGUGAAAUCCUGCAGCUUAACUGUAGAAUUGCCUUUGAUACUGGUUGUCUUGAGUUGUUAUGAAGUGGUUAGAAUAUGUAGUGUAGCGGUGAAAUGCAUAGAUAUUACAUAGAAUACCAAUUGCGAAGGCAGAUCACUAAUAAUAUACUGACACUGAUGGACGAAACGUGGGGAGCGAACAGGAU